GCCCCUUCCACGUGUGAGGGCCCAGCCGACUAUGCUCCAGGAAGUGGGCCCUCCCCAGCUGCAACAGCGUGUCCGCUGGCCCCAGGAUCUUGGACUUUCAACUUCUCAAGCAUGAGGAAUAAACGCUGUCCCUUCUGUGGAUUUUAUUACAGCAGUCCCUUUAUGUAGACAUUGAAAAGAGGUGGCCUUUCUGGGAAGAAAAAUCUCUUGAGUUUUAAUUCUGGUAAAAAGCUUAUUUUGGGCUUCCCAGGUGGCUGAGUGGUAAAGAAUCCACCUGCCAACGAAGGAGACACAAGAGGCACAGGUAAUGAGACAGGCUGGGACCCGGGACUGUUUACCAGAGCGCUUGCACCUGGACAUACACGAGGGCACACGUGGGGGCAAUCAUGAACAAUGAGCUGCGGAAGGCCACAAACCAACCACCAGGGCUGAGGCUCGGAAGGUAAAGCGAAGCGCUGAGGCAGAUCUCUGCGCACUGCCCCACCCAGGGGGCGGGCAGACCGCCCAAGCUGACCCCGGCCCCACCCGACCUGGUUAAGGGCCCAGCCCGCCCCUAAGAGCCGCAAAGCCACCUGGUGCUUGUUCCCACUGCGCAAGUGGCAGGAGCUCCAAUAAUCCUCACCUGAAUUUCUCAUCUGGCCUCAUCGAUUUCUGUUGAUCAAAGAGUCCAAGGACUCGGGUCAGUGCUAUACUUGGCGACCACCCUCGUGGGCUGUCCGUGGGGCCUUUGCCUCUUCCCUGGGAGAGGAUGCAGGCACCUCCGGGACCAUCGAACAAGCUUCCCUGAGCGGCCGGGACCCCUUGCUUCAGCUUCUCCCGUUCGGGGAUGCCGGUUCAAUCCCUGGUCCAGGAAGACCCACAUACCAUGGGGCAACUAAGCCUGCACCAACAACUGAGCCCGUGUGCCGCGACUGCAGAGGCCGAGCGCCUGCGCCGCACAAGAGAAGCCGCCGCAACGAGAAGCCUGUGCACCACGGUGAAGAGCAGCCCCUACGCACAAAACUGGAGACAGCUCACCAGCAACAAGGGCCCAGCACAGCCAAAAUAAAUAAGUACAUAAAUAUAUUUUUUAAAGGAGCAGAAUCUAUUUAAAAAAUUAAAAAUAAAGAGUUCAAACACCUGGUUCAGUAACAGCAACACUACAAUUUCUAAUGAUCUCCGUUGCUAUUUCUACCUUUCUUGUUUUUUGCAGCCAUUGAAAUUUUAAGCCAUUCUGUAAAUACAAAGCCAAGUAAUUAUCAGAAUCCCAAUGGGAUGAAUUAGAGAUGUCAGUACAAUACAUGAUUUGAGGAGAAAUCUUUAAUGCAUACCAGUGUUAAACACUUAAAUUCUUGAAUAUGUGAGGGAGGAAAAAGCAUCUUUUCUUUUGCUGUAUAUUUGUGAAAAACAAGAUGACAUUCUCAAAAUGGAGUCACUGAUGCUGAGCUCCACAUCACCAAACUUCACUUAAUUACUGCUUCAGACUCUCCCCGAAAUAGGAUCUUAAACCAGGGAAUCAGGAAUUGCCUGGUCGAUACCAGUGAGGUCACACUGGCCUGAUGGACCCCUGCUUCCCCAACAGGGAAAUUACCUCUCAACUACCACCUCACUUUUCAGCCCAGCGUGACUUCCUGUUCCUGCCCCUUCUGCCUGUGAAAGUCUUGUCCUCUGUACAGUUCCUCAGAGCUCCUGCCAGAGGC
ensembl:lncRNA